rnacentral:misc_RNA from 1 species
GAUGAAGAACGUAGCGAAACGCGAAAUGUAAUGUGAAUUGCAGAACCACCAGUGAAUCAUCGAAUCUUUGAACGCAUCUUGCGCCCCGUGGCAUUCCGCGGGGCAUGUCUGUUUGAGUGUCGUUUGACCUCUCAACCGCUUUGGUAUUCGAUUACAAAAGUCGGCUUGGAACUUGGGUGCCUCUGGCGAAACGCAAAGGGCCUCCGCCCUGUCGCCCACCCCAAAGUCAGUUGGGCCAACCGCGCGGAUGGGCGGACGGUUUGACCACAGUGUUGUAAGGUUCGCCACACUGUCGGGACGUCCAUUUCCGUUAGCGAUCAGGCAUCUGAAAUACGAUACUAUUGAUUUUGACCUCAAAUCAGACAGGAUUACCCGCUGAACUUAAGCAUAUCAAUAAGCGGAGGA